rnacentral:rRNA from 1 species
AUGGCUCAGGACGAACGCUGGCGGCGUGCUUAACACAUGCAAGUCGAACGAUGAAGCCCUUCGGGGUGGAUUAGUGGCGAACGGGUGAGUAACACGUGGGCAAUCUGCCCUGCACUCUGGGACAAGCCCUGGAAACGGGGUCUAAUACCGGAUACUGACCACUGGGGGCAUCCUCAGUGGUCGAAAGCUCCGGCGGUGCAGGAUGAGCCCGCGGCCUAUCAGCUUGUUGGUGAGGUAGUGGCUCACCAAGGCGACGACGGGUAGCCGGCCUGAGAGGGCGACCGGCCACACUGGGACUGAGACACGGCCCAGACUCCUACGGGAGGCAGCAGUGGGGAAUAUUGCACAAUGGGCGAAAGCCUGAUGCAGCGACGCCGCGUGAGGGAUGACGGCCUUCGGGUUGUAAACCUCUUUCAGCAG